GAUGAUCCACCGUCGGAAUCUCGGAGAAAAGUGUCCGGACGGUGGGUCUCUGCGGUCUCCUUUUCGAUCAUGUGUGAUGAGGGGGAAUUGGUGGGAAAUGGAAUAGGGGGUGAUUAGGGUUAGGGUUUUUGUUGGUGGAGGGGUGGAAGUGGGUAAUUGAAAUGUAGAGGUUGAAGGGAGUGAAGAGAUCAUGGUCAAGAUUGUUGUUUGGGGGAUGAACGUUGAAGGGGGUUGUUUAAUGGAUGUGAAGAAGAU
rnacentral:lncRNA from 1 species